GACGUAGGUGGCGACCGUUAUCCGGAAUUAUUGGGCGUAAAGGAUGCGUAGAUGGUGUAGUAAGUUAUCGGUGGCAAAUCGAGGCUCAACCUCGUGGAAGUCGGUAAUACUGCUAUGCUAGAGGAUAGGAGAGGUUAACGGAACUCCCUGUGGAGCGGUGAAAUGCGUAGAUAUAGGGAAGAACACCAAUCAGGCGAAGGCAGUUAACUAUUCUAUUCCUGACAUUGAGGCAUGAAAGCGUGGGGAGCAAAACGG
rnacentral:rRNA from 1 species